ACAAGAAAAAUGUCUGCGGCCGGUUGCGCACCAUUUUAUCUUGUACUAAUGUUUAUUUGUAAUAAAUAAACUACUUCCAUUUAAUUCUACAUACAUUGAUAACGUUGAGUCGAGCUUGCUCCUCCGUUGCUGUGUUUUGGUGAAAUUAAGUGUGUAUUUGUGAGAUAUAGACUCGGUGUUGAGACAGUGACUUGUUUGAUUUUGUUUUGUGUUUAAUUCGCGAUGAGUUCACAAAAAGAAAACACAAGAAUCUGCUGCUUGUGUGGAUCUUCACCUUCUAAAGAUCCCAGCAUCACUUUGCAUCGGUUUCCAAAGCCUGGCACUAAAAAUGCUCUGCGUUGUGAAUUAUGGGCAAAGUAUUGCUUCCCAAACGAAGCCUGGUCUUCACCAAAAUUCCAGGACGCACUCCAUAAACAACAUAAGAUGCUAUGCAGCAAACAUUUCAAAAGCACAUGCUUUAAUGAGAAGAAGUUGUUCAGAACAGCUGUACCUGAUGUUUGUAAAUAUCAAAAUAUAAUUGGUCUAGUGUCUUUCUCUUCCUAAUCAUUUCUAUAAUAAAGAAGAAAUAACACCAACGUUUAUUACACAAUAUGAUAGAAUAAUUUAAACCAUGUCUGUAAACUUGUUGUUUGUUAAACAAAUCGAUAGUAUUCUUUAUUGUAUAAUAACAUAGUCUUGUUUUUUAUAAUAGUAACACUUUAAAACUAACUAGAAUUUUUGUUUGUUUAUGUUUUGAUGUUGAAAUUGUAUGCAAUAGGCCCAUCCAUACUUGUUAUUUUGGACGAAAAUGUCUGAAAUACCUACCUAAAUUGAUUAAAUUCAUGUAUUUUAAAAUUCAUUACA